AGCAUAUACCAAUAACAGAAAAUCAUAAGUCUAACACAGUCCUCAAAUAUUAUAGUCCUCAGAUAGUGACAAAAUUAUUCAAAAAUACGUGAAACACUAAAUCACUCUAACUUUCCACCUAAACAUUAUGACUUACUGAAUAGAAGCAAAUAUCAAGUUUAAAGGAAAAACAACUUAGACAAAUAAAAAAACUACAAACAAAGAAAGAAAAGUAGAGAAAACAUUAACAAGAAAUACAUCUGGAGUUUCACUUUCCAUCCAAGAAAUUAUAGCUUCAUGUUUUUUUUUGCAUUUCAUAGUCUGUGAAGUACCUGGGUACAACAACAAAGGAAAAAAAACCCUGAAAUCAGCCAAGAUGAAAUAACAAUAGAAAACCAGCAACAAAGAGCAGCAGUGAUAAUCCAUACCACAACUUCAAUAACCAGCCCUACUUCAACUUAGAAAAUCAUAAAUUCCCAUGACAACUUUUGGGUUCUUAAUAGAAAAAAAAUUAGAGAACAAUUCGAGUCUAAUUUCAGUGAGUGUAAUGCAUAAACUUUAUGUAUUUUAUAGGGUUCUGAUUUCUAAUCAGUAUGUGUUUUAGGACUUUUUAUACUAAAAAUAUUGAUGAUUGUAUGUGUGUGAAUGAGUGAAUAUUUUCCUUUUUAGAGAGUGUUUAAAGAUGGAAUCAAAAGGGUAUAUUUUAACCUAAAUUCUAAAUUUUCAGGAUUGUACAACAUCUUUGACAGUUGUAUGUCCUUUUUCUCACUCAAUUUCAACAUCUUUUGCUAAAAAUGGGAAGUUGUCCAAAGAUCUAGAACCUUAUGAUAUUUAACCUAUGUAAAAACCCAAAUUUAACCCUUUAAUUACUGAGUAUUUCAACUCUGACCUAUAUUCUGACUUCAAUUUAAUUCCAGCCAUUUUUAGGACCUUCUGGAAACAACCAAGUGAUUAAGUUGCCUUAAUUUGAAAACCUAGGGUAUCACAUUUUAUUUUUUUGAUAUUUAACAAAAGGUUUAAGUUUCAAUUCAGAGGUUCAAACCCAAUUGACAAAUUUAAAAUCAAAUAAUCCUAAACAAAGAAUGCACGUAACUCACACUCAACCAACUAUUGAAAUUCAGCAUGCUUAUGCAAAGAAAACUAGAAAUCAAAACUAACUAAAUUCAAAUAAAUCAAGGUUGAAUCCAGCCAAAGCUAAAACAAUCAGGAAUCGGCUAAAUAGGCAAUUGAUAAACCUUUAACGUUGUAACAGUCCGACCAAUUGUUUUGAGCUCUAGCGCAUCGUCAACGGUUUGAAGUCAAGAGCAAAUUCAUUUCAGGUAUUAUAACUCGUAGGCAUGGCCAGAGUUGAAUUUCAAGAAGUUCGAAGUCAAAUUGGAAAGAAAUUCUCAUUUUAGAAGCCUUAAGUUGGAAGAAUCGACUAAGACUGGAGUUCGGAGUAAACGACCUUGGAAUCAGGAUCUGUAGGUUCCUGCAGGUUUGUAUGAUGAUUUCAAACUAGGGCGUAUGUUUGGAUCGGGUUUUGGAUAACCCGGUAGAAUUUCGGCGUAUAUUGUGGAAGUUAGCAUUUUAGAAGGAAUUUCAUAAGUCUGGGUUGAAGUGCAUUUCAGUGAUAUUGAUGCUCAUUUUGGAUUCUGAGUCUGGGAAUAGCUCCGUAUGGUGAUUUUGGAGUUGGGAGCAUGAUUAGAAGUGAACUCGGUGGUCCGUAGGUUGUUUUGAAAUCAUUUGGCUAAAGAUGGAAAUUUGAAGAUUUUUGAUAAGUUUGACCGAGAGUUUGACUUUUGAUAUUGGGGUUGGAUUCCAAUUUUUAAAGUUGGAGCAGGUUCAUAAUGUCGAAUAUGACUUGCAUGAAAAAUUUUAAGGUCAAUCGGACGUGAUUUGAUGGGCUUCGGCAUCAAAUGUAGAAGUUUGAAAUUUCAAAGUUCAUAAAGUUUGGAUUGUAGUACGAUUUAUAAUUUCGACAUUGUUGGAUGUGAUUUGAGACCUUGAGCGAGUUCGUAUCAUGUUUUGGGACAUGUUGGUAUAAUUGGAUAAGGUCCUAAGGGCCUUGAGUGGAUUUCGGAAGGUUAACGGAAUAAAUUUCGGACCAAAGAGUUGCUGAAAUUUUCUGCAGAAAGCUGUUUUGACAGCAACUAGUGAAAUCGUGAAGCUGAAUUUGGAAGCUUAUAUCUCAAAAUCUAUAAAGAAUCUGAAAAGUUGUAAAAAAUAAAAGUUGUCCUUGCAUUCUAGUUUCCAGAAACUUAGACCAUUCAUGAUUUGGACAUUUUAUCAGAAAGUUAUUAUCGAUUGAAGAUGGCUGGUGAAGCAGUUUCGACAAAAUUUUCUGAUGCAUGGAGCUGAUCUUAGAAGCUCAUAUCUCGAAAUAUAUAAAGACUUAUGGUGUGCAACCUAUCAAAUAAAAGACUCAGAGUAUAAUUUCUAAAUGUUCAAACCGUUUGUCAUUUGGAUGUUUCCACAAGGAGUUAUGGGCUUUUUAACAAAAGGUGUACAUCAAAGAAAAAUUGUAAUAGGAUGUACAACCUGCACAACACAAGGUACAACUCAAUGAAGCCUGGGUAGAUUGUUUUAGACACGAGUUUAGAGUAAACUUUUAUUGGUUUGCCCCUUAUUUGAAUAGUUUUGGGGCGUUGUGCAUCAAUUGGAGCCGUUGGAAGGGCUUGGAAGCCGGUUUUGGAAAUUUCAAAAGCGAGGUGAGUCUUUUUUCUAACUUUGUAAGAGGGGAUUGUCCUCAUAGGUGAAAUAAUUGGUUAUGUGCUCCUAUUUGUGAGGGCUACGUGCUCACGAUAUGACUGGAGUCCGUGCGUAGCUACUAAUAUGUGUAAGUCCGGGUAGUCUAGGACCCAAAAGCAUGCUACACUUGGAAUAUAUGUAAUCUUGUUGGCAGUUGAAUUGCUUAAAUCCUAUCGAAUUGGUAAAUAAAUUUCUAAAAGGAUUAAACUUCAUUUUCUUAAAUCAUUAAAAGAGAAUUGACUUUUAUUUGGAUAAAUAUUCCCCGAUAAAUUCUUAAUUGGCUGUUUGAGCAUGUAUUUCUAUGUGUACCUGCGACGCAUGUAUGAUUUGCGAGCAGAGUGAUUGUUUAUUUAAAUUUGACUGUGUCGUAUGUAUGAUUUGCGAGAGGAGUAAUAGAUGCAUUUGUGGUUCACGUCGUUCGACCCUUAGCAAUGCACAUUUUACAUUUAUGUUGGAUCGUGUCGUACGACCUCGACAUGAUUUUUGCAUGGUUGUAUUGCUUGCCUUGGAGUUAUCGAUAUUGAUAUUUGCUCUCCCGACUUGAGAUAAUUGUUAAUUAAUGGGUUAUGAAGGAACUCUUACCUGUUUUGUGACUUAAUUGAAUUUACUGUUAUUCUUAACAAAUCCAUGAUUCAUCACAUUAAUAAUAUUAUUAUUGGACUACUAGCAUGUGUCAAUGUCGAUCUCUCGUCUCUACUUCUGCGAUAUUAGACCUGAUACUCAUUGGGUCACGUUGUUUUCGUACUCACACUACACUUCCUAUGAAUUUUUGUUGCACAUAUUCAUAUAUAGCUAGUGGCUUAGUCGCAUAGAGGCAUGGUUGAUAUGGAGACUUAAGUUAGCUGCAAUCAGCCAGCAAAGUCUCUUUCAGAGUAUUGUACUGUAUUUUCAUUUCUGUCCACUUGUAUUCUAGACAAUUACUGUAUUUUAUGUCAUUUCCUAGUAAAUGCUUAUGCACUUGUGAUACUGAGUUCUAGGAUGAUUAUGGGGUAUCUUGAAUUAACUUCUUAUCAUUCAUAUUCGAUUUGAAACAAUUAUCUUUUACUGGUAAAAUUGAAGGAAAAUCAUAGUUUUUAAAAUUAUUAAAUAGAGAAUUUAAUUAAGUAUUUUGGUUGACUUGCCGGACAACGGUGUUUGGUGCCAUCACGAUCCUUAGUGGAUUUUGGGUCGUGACAACAUGGUAUCAGAGCACUAGGUUCCCUUAGGUUUCAAGAGUCAUGAGCAAGUCCAGUAGAGUCUUGCAGAUUGGUACAAAGAUGUCUGUACUUAUCUUCGAGAGGCUACAGGCCUGUUAGGAGUACUUCCUUCUUGAUUCCUCAUUGUGCGAUUUGAUUCCUUUGAGACUUAUGCCUAUGUUUCUUCCUACUCAAUCUUAUACGUCGCGAAAUGCUUGUUAUGAAUCGGAAUUCGAGGAAUAGUAAUGGUACUACAUAUAUGGCGCUUGAUGUUUUUCCAUGUGUAGUUGGUUGAGACUAUUGUCGUCGCUCUGCGAAAGGAUGAUAUGUUGUUUCAGCUCAGUAGCUGUGUUUCUGAGGGCUUUAAGGCUAUACUCAGGUCGUUAUAAUGCUUAUAAUUGGUCACCACACAGUAUUGGUGUAGUGAUGAGAAGCUUGCCCAUAUGUUGGGACGGUGAAUGACUUGAAAAUGAGGUCUUCUCAGAGCGUAAUUUUGAGAUUAUGAUAUUUUAGUUCUGGUAGAGGAAAGGGAAAUUAGAGUAUGAACAUUCAAGUCCGAGCAAUAAAGUAAUAAGACUUGGUGUUAUCAAGCUAGGUGGAGUUUUCAUCUGUGAUGUGGUAUCACUGUUUUUGAUUGAACAGAAUGUGUUAAGUUCAUUGAUGCUAUGGUUUCCUCGGUUGCAUGAGGUUAGAGUAUUGUGAAGAAGUAUUGAAGAAGCGGCUGUCAGAGACCGUAAGGUGCGGUGGUUUAGUAUUAGAUAAGUAUUGAUAAUGAAGGCACCUCGAGAAAGAUGAUCUUCGGAGAGUUUGAAGUCGUGGUGAACUGUUGGUUUAAGAGCUAUAGAGAAUGGUAUUGAAUUUAGGCAGCAAUUGGGCAGCAUACGAUGAAGGAAGAUAAGUGAGAAGUGCUAGGUAGUGGUUUCAUUUUUAGGAGGCCAGGUGUAAGAAGCGGAAGUCGAGCAGUCGCGUAGAGGGGGAGUUUGACCAAAGUGGGAGAGCGGCAGCAUAGUUGUGAAUUAGAAGAUAUUAUGGUGCAUUUAGUAGAUGUCCAUGAGGAGCGGAGAGACUGGUAAAGUCAGGGAAUUAGAUUAGGCAUGGGAUGGGGUAUUGAUGUCGUAGAGAGUGUGCAGUGCAAUGUAGUUGGAAGGUGUUAGAUGUAAUUUCUACAGGUGGGUUAACUCCUAUGAGUAGGUUAGCAGUCGUGCGGUUGGCAAGGAGUUCUAGUGGCUAUUCGGUAGGAGGCCGAAUAUGUGAAUGUUACUAGAGAAUUUUAGUAUUCAUGGAAUGCUUACAGGAGAAUUUAGAAGUGUUUGACGGGUUGGUUGAUGAAGGUCAAGUCAGCAAUGAAGAAAGAAUUUCAGUGGGGUCCAGAGUGGUGCAAGGAGUAGCUUCAGGCUAAGUGGGAGAGUUCCACCGCCUGCGAUUGGGUUGCCGGAUCAUAUUCGCAUAGGGUUACGGAUUAUCAGCGUAUUGGCGAGUUAUUACAUCUUAGGGGAAAGGAGUAAAAUGGUAGUUGUGCAUGGGAUUUGAUAAAUGUGUGCAAAAGUUGGCCCUAUUAGACCAGGGUUAGGUUUUGGAAGAUUCAGAAUUUAUGCUUAAGGCAUAUGCGAGUUGUAAGGGUAGUGCUCAGUCAUGUGCUUCAUUGAAAGGGUGUUCUAUAUUUUGGGCUAGUUAGAGUGAGUGACUCUCAAUAGCGGUCUUGAUGAAUACGAAAGUUAAGAAUACAGUGUUUAAAGUGUUUUAGGAAGCAACAUGAUUAAGAAUCGAGUAUUGGCAAUAUAAAUUUUGAGAAAGGAAAAAUGGUUAGAGUGUUCUAUGAUAUUUGUCAGCGUGCAGAAUAGUAUUUGAGGAAUGAGAGAAAUUAACUCCGGUAUGUAGAAGGAUUAUCAGGAGAGGUACAUCGAUAGAGGUUGUGAAUGUGCGCAAGAAGGGUAUGAGACGGUUUGUUGGAUUGAGACUGAAUGGUCUCGUAAAUCAAAGCCACUCGGGAUGAGUGAUUUGUUAUGUGUUGAAUGGGGGGGGGGGGUACUAUUAAUUUUGAGGCAAUUAAGGAUGGUUAAAAGAAUAUAGAUUAGUUAGCCAUGGUUGAAAUGGCACAUGUGCGACAGUGAUCAGUUCCUUCAAUGUGAUUAAGUUAUGUAUGUGGUUUGCGCUAGUGUGUGCGAGGUUUUUCGGCCACUCUAAUAAGUUCUAUUUGGAAGCAUUCAAGUAUUAUGGCUCGUAAAGCGUAAGCGGAUCCCAGAACAAUAUGGUGGUAUGGACUAUUCCUUGGGGAUUUGCAUGUUUUGGGAUUUUGAGAAUCCACUCGUAUGUUGUUACGAUUUUCUUAAAUAAAGGUAAGUAAAAGGUUUCUAUAGGACGAAGUGUUCCCCCUAAUUAGCGGUUCAGGAAUUAUGAUGGAAUUCCUAUGCUAUUCCAUAUUGGCAUGUUAGGUGCAACAAAUAGUAUGUAAUUGACAGUAAGAAUCGAGAUUGCGGUUCGGUGUUAACAAGGAUGUCAUAAGCUUAGAUGAGCAAGGAAACUAGUGGUUUCUUCAGUGUCACCUGAGAUCAGAGUUUGGUGAAAGAGGCUUGGUAUCUUGGUUAGGGGUUCUUGAUUUAUUUUACAUCAUUAGUGUGGUCGGUGGUAUGGAUAUGCAAACUUGUUACCUUGUAUGGAAGGUUGUGGGAGCGCGACCAGGGGAAGAUUGUACAAGUGUGACAUGUAGUCACCUGAUUGAUUGAAGAUUUAGACCAAGUAUAAUGAAGUGCAAUAUUGCUUACUUGAGAAUUUAUGCCUAGAGUCAUUCAGUUCAGUUGGUUGUGGAUUGUGGGGUGUUUGUCCCGGCUAGGAUGGUUGUUCUUGCGCAUGAGAGGAAGUGGGUUAUUAUGGACCCAGGUAAUGCUAUUAGCCUAGUUUAGUGUGAGCGGAAUCAGCUUGAAGUGUGUAAAAGGAAUUAAACAGUCUUAUGGGCCCCAUAUGAGUCAGAUGUGUUUAUUUCAGUAUACCGAUCCUCAAGUGGGGUGUUGGAAUAUCAGAUGUUGUUCCGUCUUCGCCAACUUCAUAUACAUUAUGAUUGUGCCGUGUGAGUUGUGAAACGGCUCGAUAGAUCCUAUGUGUUGAGUCUCCAUGUAGUGAUGAUGUUAUGUGAGAAAAAGAGCUCUUGAGAUUCAGAGUAUAUAUAGCGCACCUUAGUUGUGCUCGAGUUUUGUAGCGUGUGGCUCUAUAGGUCUCCCCAAGAUGGUAUUAUGUGCUUAGCUUGCUUGUGACCGAUAUUCGGUAAUUUAUAAUGGUGAGAAAUUUAGCUCUAUAUAUAUCUCCUUAUGUGAAUUUUAUGAUAGUAUCAGGUGGCACGCCACCAUAGGUGUGUUAUUUGGUUGUACACCGCAACAUGGUGAUGUUGAGUGAGGUUCCUAUAUUUAUUUUUCUUGUGUUUUACUUCCUAUUUUCUAAGGAAAUCCAUGUUAGUAGCAUGAGUUGAGUAGUCCCUUCCUGAGUCAUUUCCUUAUUCAUCAUGUUCGAGUUGAGGCCUAUUGGUGCAUUGUUGCAUCAUAUGAGACUGUUGGUCAUGCUUGGGGUGAUUUAUUGCUUGAGCAAUUCAUACUGGGCGAGGCGAAAUUAUGGUAUUAGGGAUCAAUGCGAUAAGACUAUGUAGAAGUAUAUAAUAGGACAAUUACUAUCAUUUGGUUUGUAAUGAUAUAACGAUUUUAGUCAAGAGGAAGAUUCCAUGUUUGGUUAGCUCUGCAGUUGGUUAGAAAUUUCUACACAUCUCCUCCGUUGUGGUGGUUUCGCCAACAUUACACCAGGAUGUGUGUGUGUGUGUAUAUAUAUAUAUCAUAAGGUGUAUUGGGAGCAUCAGAUUCGUGGAAUUUUGGCUUUUAAAGUUUAGGGACUGUCAUUGAGGUUAGAUAAUGAAUUAUGCGGUGCAUGGUGCUAAUUCAGCAAAGGUAUGCAGUCAUGUUUUGGUUCAUCGUGUGGUAGUUGAUAUGGUAUUUAUAUAUUGAAAAUAGGCCUAGAAGAGGAAUUUAGAUGUUGAAAACUUGGUUCUAAGGCCCAUUUGCCUAAAUAAAAGAGGAUAUCUUCAGAAUUGUUUAAGCAAGUGUACUCAACUGGGUUAUAGUAGCACGGUUAGGUGCACGAGGUAUUAAACAAUGAUUUCAGAUAACUCCAGAGCAUUUAUUACCACAUUCAAGGACGAAUGUAAGUUUAAGUGGGAGAGUGUAACGACCCGAUCGGUCUUUUUGAGCUCUAGCACGCCGUUCAAAGGUUUGAAGUCAUGAGCAGCUUCAUUUUAGGUAUUAUGAUUUGUAGGCGUGGUCUGAGUUGAAUUUGGGAAGUUCGAAGUCAAACUAGAAAGAAAGUUCUCAUUUUAGAAGCCUUAAGCUGGAAGAAUUGACUAAGACUGGAAUUUGGAGUAACAACCUCGGAAUCAGGAUCUGAAGGUUCUAGCAGGUUCAUAUGAUGAUUUCGGACUGGGGCGUAUGUCUGGAUCGUGUUUUGAAUAACUCGGGAGUGUUUCAGCGUAUAUUUUGGAAGUUAGCAUUUUAGAAGGGAAUUUCAUAAGUCUGGGUUGAAGUGCAUAUCAGUGAUAUUGAUGUCCGUUUGAGAUUCUGAGUCUGGAAUAGCUCCGUAUGGUGAUUCUGGAGUUGGAGUGUGAUGGGAAAUGAAUUCGGAGGUCCUCAGGUUAUUUUGAAGUCAUUCGGCUAAACAUAAAAAUUUGAAGGUUUUUGAGAAGUUUGACCGAGAGUUUGAAUUUUUGAUAUUGGGAUCAGAUUUCAAUUCCAAAAGUUAGAGUAGGUUCGUAAUGUCAAAUAUGACUUGUGUGUAAAAUUUGAGAUCAAUCGGACGUGGUUUGACGGGUUUCGGCAUUGAAUGUAGAAGUUUGAAAUUUCAAAGUUCAUAAAGUUUGGAUUGGAGUACGAUUCAUGAUUUCGACAUUGUUGGAUGUGAUUUGAGGCCUCGAGCAAGUUCGUAUCGUGUUUGGGACAUGUUGGUAUAAUUGAUUAAGGUCCCUAGGGCCUCGGAUGGAUUUUGGAAAGUUAACAGAAUGAAUUUCAAACCAAAGAGUUGCAGAAAUUUUCUGCAGAAAGCUGUUUUGACAGCAACUAGUGCAAUCGUGGAGCUGAAUUUGGAAGCUUAUAUCUCACAAUCUAUAAGGAAUCUGAAAAUUUGCGUAACAUAAAAGUUUUUGCCUUGCAUUCUAGUUUCCAGAAAGUUAAACCAUUCAUGAUUUGGACAUUGUAUCAGAAAGUUAUGAUCGAUUGAAGAUGGUUGGUGGAGCAGUUUUGACACAAUUUUUUGAUACAUGGCGCCGACUUUUGUUUUACUGCUAUUUUUCCUUUUAGCCUAUGAGCCGGGGGUCGAUUAGAAACAGCCUCUCUGCCUAAGGCUUGUCAACAUAUUACCCCCCAGACCCCACCUGGUGGGAGUAUACUGGGUAGUUGUUGUUGUUGUUGUUGGAGCCGACUUUUGAAGCUCAUAUCUCGGAAUAUAUAAAGACUUAUGAUGUGCAAUCUAUCAAAUGAAAGAUCUUCGAAUAUAGUUCUAAAUAUUCAAACCAUUUGUCAUUUGGAUAUUUUCACAAAGGGUUAUGGGCGUUUUAACACAAGGUGUACAUUAGGGAAAAAUUGUAAUAAGAUGUACAACCUGCACAAUGCAAGGUACACUUGAUGAAGCCUAGACAGAUUGUUUUAAACACGAGCUUUGACCCAUUUCUUUCAUUUGGCUUGGACGAUUUUUGAGAGCUCAAUGAGUGAUUUUAACCAAGCAACACUAGGUAAGUGAUUUCUUCCAAAUUUUGAGUUAAAUAUGUGAUCUUACAUGGAUUUAGACAUGGAAAAUUAGUAUAAAUUUGGGACUUUUGGGGAAGACAUAGAAUUUGGAAUUUUGGACUUUUACCUUGAAUUCGAGCAUUAAAAUUAAAGAAAAAUAUAUAUUUGAGUUAGUAAAGCUAUGAUAGUAUUUAUCUUCGAGAUAUUUCGGAAUCCGACAAUGCAGGCCCGAGGGUAUUUUUGUCAAAUUUUCGAAUGGAGUUGUAAACUUAUAUAAUUUGAAUUGUUACAAGUAUUAGAGUGAUUUUUAUUGGUUUGCCCAUAAUUUGAAUAGUUUUGGAGCGUUGUGCAUCUAUUAGAGUCGUUGGAAGGGCUUGGAAGUCGGUUAUGAAAAUUUCGGAGCGAGGCGAGUUUCCUUCUAACCUUGUAAGAGGGAAUUGUCCUCAUAUGUGAAAUAAUUGGUUAUGUUCUCCUAUUUGUGGGGGCUACGUAGGCACGAGAUGACCGGAGUCCCUACGUAGCUAGUAAUAUGUGUAAGUCCGGGUAGUCUUGGACCCAAAAGCAUGCCACACUUGGAAUAUAUGUAAAAUUGCUUAAAUUUGGCCGCGUCGCACGUAUGAUUCGCGAGCGGGGUGAUAGAUGUAUCUAUGGUUGGCACCGUUCGACCUUUGGCAGUGCAUAUUUUACAUUUAUGUUGGAUCGGGUACGAUCUAUCACACCUCCUUUUUUCACUACACGCCCGAAGGGCGAGUAAGGGAGUUUUUUCCAACUUAAAGUGACAAUCGAAAUGAGAUUAUUUAUUUAUUAAAUUCAGAGUCGCCACUUGGAUAAUUUUACGGUGUCCCAAGUCACCAGUUCAAAUCCCGAAUCGAGGAAAAUGUUGACUUUGUUUUACAAUCUGCGAACACAAAAAUCUAGGUAAGGAAUUCUUUUAACCCGGGAGAAAGUGUUAGGCAUUCCCAAGUUCCCCGGUUCUAGCACGAUCGCUUUGAUCAUACUUGGCUUAAUCAAAUUGUUUAAUUCCUGAUUUUAGAAGCUACGUGCAUUUAUCUUUUACCACUUUUAAGUUAAAAAAUUAUCUUGAAACGGGUCACGCGCACGUGUAUCCAUUUAUUUGGUGCGUCGAAAAUCUUGUAAUGCGAACGUGUCCACUAUUAAUAACGCUUUAUUAUUAUUAGAAACAUUUGAUUGAAGUUGCGCGAAUGCAUACUCCAGUUUUGUUUUUAGAAAUCAUACUCAUAUCACGUGAACAUAUACACAAUUAUAAUGAUAGAUUAAUUAAUGGCAUCUACAGCACUAGCGAUUACUCAAAAUAAAAGAAUAACACAAGGUGCAACAAAAAGAAAAGAAAAGCUCAUCCUAAUAGUCUUCUAUCAAGUUAACUUAUCAAAAAAAGACAAUAAAUGACCUUCUGUCAAAAGGUUAAACCAAUUAAUUAGUGAAUGAGACCGACUUACAUUUCAUAUUAUACGUACCCAUGUCAAUAAUAUGGAUUACCUUCUUCCUGCGGCAAUUUGGGUAAAACACAACAACAAACCAAUGCCUAACCCAACAAAACCAAAAUUUAUACAAAACACACACGGACUAUUAAAAUGCAAAAUUAUUUGAUCAAUUGUAUUAUGAGUCUAAUCAAAAUAAAAGCUUAACCAAAAAUCUAUACAAUUCAAUAUUCAUUAUUAUUAUUGCUUUUAUUCAAUAUAAGAUCCCAUUCGAGAUUCAUCAAACUAAAAUAUGAUUAAUUUCAAACAUUAACCCAGAAAAUAAAGAAACAAGACCAAGCAUCAAUAAAGCAAAAUAAAGCUUUAUGCAUCUAUUCAUUUAUACCAACAAAUAACGAGACCCAUAGAUGACAUAAGCAGUCAAAGAUAGAAGAACAGACCUUCUAUUGUUGAAAUUAUCAAGCGGAUACAAUGAAAAUAGAAGCCCUAGAACAGUAAUCCUCAAGCGAGCUACGGACUAGGACCUUGGGAACGAAAUCGAUGCCCCCGAACGAACUCAUCUCUACUAAAUUUGGAUGGUGGCUUCAAGCUGAUUUUCAUUCUAGUUUGGGGAAUUUUUUCGACGGUAUAAUGCUGGUUACACGUAAUUGAAACAGAGGAUUGUUAUGCGGCAAUUUCCGAUCAAAGAAAGGGGGUUUUGCUAUUUUGUUCUCUAGUGUCUAGGUUGGUGGAUCCAUUUUGUAUGUUCUGCUUUUGUCAAGUGUGAAAUGGGCUUUUUGAAAGGAAGAUCUGUUGGUUAGAUUAUUUUGGGAAUUGCAGCUACCUUAGAGAUAACUGGGAGAGGUGUUCUUAUUUUGAAAAUGGCUGAAGAAGAUGAAUCGAUGGGCUCGUUUGGGGUGAUCUCCUCACUUGCUGAAAAAGGCGUUGAUCUCCUCCUCUUUAGCGUUAUAUAUUUUGAGUGUCUUGAUUGUGUAAUGUAUCGCGAUUAUAUAUGUCUAGGUCUAAAUAUGUAUUUUGAUGCUAAUUGCUCUGAGGAUCUUAGAGUUUUUUUAUUUAUUUAUUUUUUCAAAUAAGAGUAUAGAAGGGUCUCUAGGGGUAGCUUAAUAUGUAUUGG
rnacentral:lncRNA from 1 species